UUUCCGUGGGUGAACCUGCGGAUGGAUCAUUCAUAAUAAAGUGUUUUAUGGCACUUUUUAAAAAUCCAUAUCCACCUUGUGUGCAAUGUUAGAUCUCGUCAAUCUUGGCGAGAUUUUUAUACAUCAACUCAUUCUUUAACUAAUUUGUCUGAAAAAUAUUAUGAAUACUUAAUUCAAAAUACAACUUUCAACAACGGAUCUCUUGGCUCUC
rnacentral:misc_RNA from 1 species